rnacentral:misc_RNA from 1 species
AACGCACGAGACCUGCGGACCUGCGGAGGGAUCAUUACCGAGUUAUCCAACUCCCAACCCCUGUGAAUUAUACCUUUAAUUGUUGCUUCGGCGGGACUUCGCGCCCGCCGGGGACCCAAACCUUCUGAAUUUUUUAAUAAGUAUCUUCUGAGUGGUUAAAAAAAUGAAUCAAAACUUUCAACAAUGGAUCUCU